rnacentral:rRNA from 1 species
GACGAACGCUGGCGGCGUGCCUAAUACAUGCAAGUCGAACGCACUCUCGUUUAGAUUGAAGGAAGCUUGCUCCUGAUUGAUAAACAUUUGAGUGAGUGGCGGACGGGUGAGUAACACGUGGGUAAACCUGCCCUAAAAGUGGGGGAUAACAUUUGGAAACAGAUGCUAAAUACCGCAUAAAACCUAACACCGCAUGGUGUAGGGUUGAAAGAUGGUUUCGGCUAUCACUUUAGGAUGGACCCGCGGUGCAUUAGUUAGUUGGUUGAGGUAAAGGCUCACCAAGACCGUGAUGCAUAGCCGACCUGAGAGGGGUAAUCGGCCACACUGGGACUGAGACACGGCCCAGGACUCCUACGGGAGGCAGCAGUAGGGAAUCUUCCGA